rnacentral:sRNA from 1 species
ACAGACUAGCCAAGUGGCUGAGACGAGUGUGGGAUCAAGGGAGAAAGAGAACCGGCGGCUGGCCUCGGACUCUAAGCGGUGCGCAGCUCCAGCCCGGGCGGAUCGGCCCUGAACCCACAAAGGACUCCUCGCUCCUUCAAGCCUCCACCACCUCGCAGCCGGGGAGGCAACUGGAGCGAAACCAGCGACAGAUGCGGCCAUGGACAAGACAAGGAGAGCGUCUUCCCUCUCGCCCCUCGGGUUCCCUCCUGCUGGGGACUGACCGCGUCUUCUGUGCGUGUGGGAUGGAGGCCCAGCUCACCCGGGCUCCGAGCUGUCCCCCGGCUCCGCUUUCGGAGCAGCCCUCGGGCGCUGGAGACGUUUCCCAUUGCGGUCUCCGGGUCAUGGCCAACGAGGAGAAGCAAUAAGAAUGGGGGAAAGGGUCCCAAGACAAAGGAGAGGGAAGCAUUCUGCAAUCCCAUCCUAUUUUAGCCCCGCGCAGGAGCUGGACUGUCCGCCGUGGCUGGGGGACAAGGUCUCAGCCCGAAGCUCAUGAGGUACCAGACUGUGCCUGGGCUU